AUUGAACGCUGGCGGCAUGCCUUACACAUGCAAGUCGAACGGCAGCGGGGGAGAAGCUUGCUUUUCCUGCCGGCGAGUGGCGAACGGGUGAGUAAUACAUCGGAACGUGCCCUGUAGUGGGGGAUAACUAGUCGAAAGAUUAGCUAAUACCGCAUACGACCUGAGGGUGAAAGUGGGGGACCGCAAGGCCUCAUGCUAUAGGAGCGGCCGAUGUCUGAUUAGCUAGUUGGUGGGGUAAAGGCCUACCAAGGCGACGAUCAGUAGCUGGUCUGAGAGGACGAUCAGCCACACUGGGACUGAGACACGGCCCAGACUCCUACGGGAGGCAGCAGUGGGGAAUUUCGGACAAUGGGCGAAAGCCUGAUCCAGCAAUGCCGCGUGUGUGAAGAAGGCCUUCGGGUUGUAAAGCACUUUUGUCCGGAAAGAAAUGGCUCUGGUUAAUACCUGGGGUCGAUGACGGUACCCGAAGAAUAAGGACCGGCUAACUACGUGCCAGCCGCCGCGGUAA
rnacentral:rRNA from 1 species